GAGGGGAGGUCUAAACCAAUAAGAGCUGCUAACUCUUAAAUCUGGGCCUUAUACCCCAGUCCCCUUA
rnacentral:tRNA from 1 species